UGGUGAGCCCUUUAGUAAGGGUAAGAAUAUCGUACUCGAGGAUCAGGAGUAGGAGUACUCUCAUUAUAGUGAGUAAUCAGACGAUCAUCUUAACUAUCUAAAGUAGUUUAUACUUAUUUUUUUAUUUUAAAAAAUAAUGAAUUUAAAUUGUAAACUAUUAUGUUUUAUAACUGAAGUGUUGGAUAAUUGAAAUGAGAUUCAUAAUUUGUUUUGAAAUCGAAUACUGAUUUUGAAAAUUGAGUAAGUGGAGACUAUAUACUCGUGUUUGAUAUAUGGUUUGAAUUGAUAGCUUAUGACAAUGUGACGGCAUGAAUGGCUGGAUUUGUGUUUGUGUGGAAUAUAUGAACUGUUUUGUUUUACCUUGACAGGCUGGGUAAUAUCAUAUUAGCCAUGUCAUGUUGUUGAAAUUUUUAUUGAUUUGGUGGGGUAAUUGAUUAGCUUACUGUAGUGGGUGGGUUCCGUGGACCGGCCUAUUAGGGGGGACACAGUAAACCCCGUCAUAUUUUACCUUUGUAUGAGAGGUGCGGAGGGUAUCUCCUAAGGUAGUUUAGAGUUCACUUCAAGGCGAACCACCACGUGAGGGUGAAACUCAGCCAACGCCAAGGAACGACUAUGUUUUUAAACGUAAAAACAUGUUUUAUGUGUAUAUGUUAUUUUGACAGCCUUGGCGGACUCGGUUGGAUGCCCGGCGCAAGUUGUCACCGAGUACAAGUUUUGGCACGAGCCAAUUUUUUAAGAGAGUCAUAAGCCUUGUUGAUUUUUAUGAAAUGUAACUGUUUUAUAUGAGUUGAAAUGAGUUUUAAUGUUAUGAAUCAUAUUAUGAUGAGAUGUUUUAAUUGUCUCCAUUUAUUCGACUUUAGAUGUUAUAGAUGAACUUUACUUACUCACUGGGUUUAUAAAGACUCACCCCCUUCUUUUCACCCAUUUCAGGUUCAGAGUAGUUUGUAGACAGUCGAUUUUGUCGAGGGUUUGCUUUUGGAUUUGCACCUUUAGAAAUCAUAGGUCUACAAUCCUGUUUAUUUUUGUUAUUUUGGGGCUCACAUGUCAUUGUAAAAUAUUUUUGUAUACCCUAGCGCUGUGUGCUAUUAUGUAUAUAAAUUUAUUUUGUUAUUACGCUACAAUUAUUGUUUACGUAG
rnacentral:lncRNA from 1 species